CUUGUUGGUAUUUCUGACAUUCAGGAAGGUUGGCGACAGUUUAAGUGUUGGGCGGUUCGGAGGUAGCUGAAUCUUCUGAUGCAAGAGGGGAUGCCUCUCCUCACCUUCCUGGACAGGUGACUGGACACUGGGGACCUUGAAGAACAUGCCAUGCACCCCCGUGGACUAGCUUCGGCAGAUAAGAAAAAACCCUAGGCGCAGCAAAGAAGACAUGUUCUGGGUGGUGCUGCAGCGCGAUGAGAGACAGACCAGGGAAUGGAAAGAGUGCUGGGAAGCCAAAAGGCAGGACAGAAAAGAGAAUGCUGCUUUUGCUAGGCAAGCAACAGAGCGGAUGAUAAAAGUUAUGGAGGAUCAGAGAGAGAUGCUCAAGUCUUUGAUACAGCUGCAGACUGAGCAGAUCGGUGGUUGACCUCCACUGCAGCACAUGCAGAUGCACAAUUCUUUGCCAACCCCACCCCCUCUGUGCCCACACAUUCCUUUUCACUUCACAGCACUUCUGAGUUUUCCCAUCACUCCACCCCCUUUCACAGAUUGCACGAUGAUAGCUGGAGCUACACACAGUUGUGAGGUUUUACCCUUUUUAACAAUAAAUAAAGGCUAAGGUAUUUAA